GUUCUGUAAGCCUGUGAAGGUGGCCUGUGAGGGUUGCUGGAGGUAUCAGAAGUGCGAAUGCUGACAUAAGUAACGAUAAAGCGGGUGAAAAGCCCGCUCGCCGGAAGACCAAGGGUUCCUGUCCAACGUUAAUCGGGGCAGGGUGAGUCGACCCCUAAGGCGAGGCCGAAAGGCGUAGUCGAUGGGAAACAGGUUAAUAUUCCUGUACUUGGUGUUACUGCGAAGGGGGGACGGAGAAGGCUAUGUUGGCCGGGCGACGGUUGUCCCGGUUUAAGCGUGUAGGCUGGUUUUCCAGGCAAAUCCGGAAAAUCAAGGCUGAGGCGUGAUGACGAGGCACUACGGUGCUGAAGCAACAAAUGCCCUGCUUCCAGGAAAAGCCUCUAAGCAUCAGGUAACAUCAAAUCGUACCCCAAACCGACACAGGUGGUCAGGUAGAGAAUACCAAGGCGCUUGAGAGAACUCGGGUGAAGGAACUAGGCAAAAUGGUGCCGUAACUUCGGGAGAAGGCACGCUGACACGUAGGUGAAGUGAUUUACUCAUGGAGCUGAAGUCAGUCGAAGAUACCAGCUGGCUGCAACUGUUUAUUAAAAACACAGCACUGUGCAAACACGAAAGUGGACGUAUACGGUGUGACGCCUGCCCGGUGCCGGAAGGUUAAUUGAUGGGGUCAGCGCAAGCGAAGCUCCUGAUCGAAGCCCCGGUAAACGGCGGCCGUAACUAUAACGGUCCUAAGGUAGCGAAAUUCCUUGUCGGGUAAGUUCCGACCUGCACGAAUGGCGUAAUGAUGGCCAGGCUGUCUCCACCCGAGACUCAGUGAAAUUGAACUCGCUGUGAAGAUGCAGUGUACCCGCGGCAAGACGGAAAGACCCCGUGAACCUUUACUAUAGCUUGACACUGAACAUUGAGCCUUGAUGUGUAGGAUAGGUGGGAGGCUUUGAAGCGUGGACGCCAGUCUGCGUGGAGCCGACCUUGAAAUACCACCCUUUAAUGUUUGAUGUUCUAACGUGGACCCGUUACCCGGGUUGCGGACAGUGUCUGGUGGGUAGUUUGACUGGGGCGGUCUCCUCCUAAAGAGUAACGGAGGAGCACGAAGGUUGGCUAAUCCUGGUCGGACAUCAGGAGGUUAGUGCAAUGGCAUAAGCCAGCUUGACUGCGAGCGUGACGGCGCGAGCAGGUGCGAAAGCAGGUCAUAGUGAUCCGGUGGUUCUGAAUGGAAGGGCCAUCGCUCAACGGAUAAAAGGUACUCCGGGGAUAACAGGCUGAUACCGCCCAAGAGUUCAUAUCGACGGCGGUGUUUGGCACCUCGAUGUCGGCUCAUCACAUCCUGGGGCUGAAGUAGGUCCCAAGGGUAUGGCUGUUCGCCAUUUAAAGUGGUACGCGAGCUGGGUUUAGAACGUCGUGAGACAGUUCGGUCCCUAUCUGCCGUGGGCGCUGGAGAACUGAGGGGGGCUGCUCCUAGUACGAGAGGACCGGAGUGGACGCAUCACUGGUGUUCGGGUUGUCAUGCCAAUGGCACUGCCCGGUAGCUAAAUGCGGAAGAGAUAAGUGCUGAAAGCAUCUAAGCACGAAACUUGCCCCGA
rnacentral:rRNA from 1 species